AACGUAGGGGGCGAGCGUUAUCCGGAAUCACUGGGCGUAAAGGGCGUCUAGGCGGUCCAGUAAGUCCUGCGUGAAAGCUCCCGGCUCAACUGGGAGAGCGCGUGGGAGACUGUUGGGCUAGAGACUCGGAGAGGGGUGUGGAAUUCCCGGUGGAGUGGUGAAAUGCGUUGAUAUCAUCAGGAACACCAGUGGCGAAGGCGACCCACUGGGUCAUUUCUGACGCUGAGGUACGAAAGCUAGGGUAGCGAACGGG
rnacentral:rRNA from 1 species